rnacentral:rRNA from 1 species
GACGGCCUUCGGGUUGUAAACGGCUUUUGGGGGGGAAGAUUCUGACGGUACCCCCCGAAUAAGCCCCGGCUAACUCCGUGCCAGCAGCCGCGGUAAGACGGAGGGGGCAAGCGUUGUCCGGAAUUACUGGGCGUAAAGCGCGCGUAGGUGGUUCGUUGCGUCGGUGCUGAAAGCGCCGGGCUUAACCCGGUGAGGCGUGCCGAUACGAGCGAGCUAGAGGCAGGGAGAGGGCAGCGGAAUUCCGGGUGUAGUGGUGAAAUGCGUGGAGAUCCGGAGGAACGCCAGAGACGAAGGUGGCUGCCUGGCCCUGACCUGACACUGAGGCGCGAUAGCGUGGGGAGCAAACCGGAUUAGAUACCCGGGUAGUCCACGCCGUAAACGAUGCCAGCUCGGUGUCUGGGCCCUUUACGGGGCCUGGGUGCCUAAGCACACGCGGUAAGCUGGCCGCCUGGGGAGUACGAGCGCAAGCUUAAAACUCAAAGGAAUUGACGGGGGCCCGCACAAGCAGCGGGGCGUGUGGUUUAAUUCGACGCAACGCGAAGAACCUUACCCAGGUUUGACAUGCACCUGCAAGCCGGUGAAAGCCGGUCGCCUUCGAGGGUGGUGCACAGGUGCUGCAUGGUUGUCGUCAGCUCGUGUCGUGAGAUGUUGGGUUAAGUCCCGCAACGAGCGCAACCCGCGUCGCUAGUUACACGUGUCUAGCGAGACAGCCGCCUUUAUGGGCGGGGGAAGGCGCGGAUGACGUCAAAUCCGCAUGGCCCUUACACCUGGGGCGACACACACGCUACAAUGGGCCGGUACAGUGCGCUGCAAGGCCGUAAGGCGGAGCAAAUCGUCAAACCGGUCCCCAGUUCAGAUCGAGGGCUGCAACUCGCCCUCGUGAAGGUGGAGUUGCUAGU